rnacentral:misc_RNA from 1 species
UGUAGGAGCUGGCUUGCCUGCGAUAGCGUUGGGUCAUCCAACGCCUUAGUGACGGGUAGACCGCUAUCGCAGGCAAGCCAGCUCCCACA